GGCUCAUAUCAAGGUACUGCUUGAGCAAUACAGAAAGUUGCAUCCCGACAUGAAUCUGGUGAAAGACCGCAUGAUGAAAACCUUUGCAUGGAGACGCCGAGAAAUAGCAGAAGGAAUGUCAACUGAAGAUCUGUUGAGGAGAUAUCCAUUCCUAAGAACAUCCGCUGGGAAAAAUCCUCAAACUCCAUAUCCAACCGUUCAACUGAAAGCACAAGGGUUGAAAUUUGCCCUCUCCAGACAGUGCCAGAGUGUGGUCAAUGUCGAGGGAAUUGAGGUCUGUUCUUGCACUUCGGUGGAUGAGGCCUUCAUUGCAGCCUUCUGCAUGUACUUUGUCUUCAACAUGGCAUAUCCUGGAUACUUGAAAAAGACACUGACCUUUCUCCAGAGGCUCAUCGCAAACAUCACGGGGGAUGGAGACAAAUCCCUGC
ensembl:lncRNA